rnacentral:lncRNA from 1 species
AUUUUCUGAUGUGGAGUUCCAACUGUUAUUAUUUAAUUUGGGUGCAACAAAUUAGUGUUUAAAUGGUGUGUGGUCAAACUGACAACUGGAGAAACAAAGACGUGAGAAGUCGUUCAGAAAUUUCCUCAAAGAAGUUAACACUAAAUUUGGAUUGGAUCACAAACCAACACUACCACCAUGAUGGGUCUGGAAUGCGAGGGACCACCGCUGACAACCCAAUCUGCAAACAUCGCAUCCAUGGUCCAUAACAAACUGAGCAGGCCACACAAACGCUUCACACCGCAUGGCCGCUGCCACACUAACCUGGUGGUCCCAGCGCGCACGACCCACCCGGAGUUCCAGGUCUCCGGCAGCCUCUGGAACUGCCGGUCUGCAGCCAACAAGGCAGAGUUCAUCUCAGCCUAUGCUACCCUCCAGUCCCUCGACUUCUUGGCGCUGACGGAAACAUGGAUUACCACAGAAAACACUGCUACUCCUACUGCUCUCUCCUCGUCUGACCAUGUGUUCUCGCAUACCCCGAGAGCAUCUGGUCAGAGGGGUGGUGACACUGGAAUCCUCAUCUCUCCCAAGUGGACAUUCUCUCUUUCUCCCCUGACCCAUCUGUCUAUCUCCUCCUUUGAAUUCCAUGCUGUCACAGUCACUAGCCCAUUCAAGCUUAACAUCCUUAUCAUUUAUCGCCCUCCAGGUUCCCUUGGAGAGUUCAUCAAUGAGCUUGACGCCUUGAUAAGUUCCUUUCCUGAGGAUGGCUCACCCCUCACAAUUCUGGGUGACUUUAACCUCCCUACGUCUACCUUUGACUCAUUUCUCUCUGCCUCCUUCUUUCCACUCCUCUCCUCUUUUGACCUCACCCUCUCACCCUCUCACCGUCCCCCCCUACUCACAAGGCAGGCAAUACGCUUGACCUCAUCUUUACUAGAUGCUGUUCUUCUACUAAUCUCACUGCAACUCCCCUCCAAGUCUUCGACCACUACCUUGUAUCCUUUUCCCUCUCGCUCUCCUCCAACACUACUCACUCUGCCCCUACUCAGAUGGUAUUGCGCCGUCGCAACCUUCGCUCUCUCUUUCCUGCUACUCUCUCCUCUUCCAUCCUAUCAUCUCUUCCCUCUGCUCAAUCCUUCUCCAACCAAUCUCCUGAUUCUGCCUCCUCAACCCUCCUCUCCUCCCUUUCUGCAUCCUUUGACUCUCUAUGUCCCCUAUCCUCCCGGCCGGCUCGGUCCUCCCCUCCUGCUCCGUGGCUUGACGACUCAUUGCGAGCUCACAGAACAAGGCUCCGGGCAGCCGAGCGGAAAUGGAGGAAAACUAGCCUCCCUGCGGACCUGGCAUCUUUUCACUCCCUCCUCUCCACAUUUUCUUCCUCUGUUUCUGCUGCAAAAGACACUUUCUACCACUCUAAAUUCCAAGCAUCUGCCUCUAACCCUAGGAAGCUCUUUGCCACCUUCUCCUCCCUCCUGAAC